GUGAAUCAUCAAAUUUUUGAACGCAUAUUGCACUCUCUGGUAUUCCGGAGAGUAUGCCUAUUUGAGGGUCAGUUGAAAUAAUAUACAUUCCAGGAUUUCUCGGAAUUUAUAAUGCGUUGUCCAUUUGUUGUGGUCGCCUAAAAUCCAAGACAAGCACAUUUUCUUGGGUUGCUUGAUACUUUUAGUAAUCUCGUGACUUAACCAGGAAUCAUCGGGUGU
rnacentral:misc_RNA from 1 species